AAUAACUGUAGCCACAUAAUGAAAAUGGAAGUGCACCAUGAUGUGAAAAUCAAUUGAGGAGGCUUGGAAUAUUGCUACUGAAACAUCUACACCUUGACAUUUUUUGAGGCAUCACUGAUCACUCGUCCUCUGUCUUUAGAACACAGCAGAUGGCUUCUCAUGGCUGGGCAUCCUGAUGCCACAGCAUUUCACCAUGGUAGUUGUGAUGUCAACUGUAAUGGAAAAUGUUAAGGAAGGUGUUACAACAUCCUCAUUUCCUUGGGCACCAGCCCUGCAGUUAUCUCCUUGGAAAACGUCAAAUUUGUCCUGGAAUGAGGAGCACAUCUGGAGAAGGAAUUGAGAGGAGGGAUAUGAUUAAAUGGUACCAGUACCUUACAGCAAAAUCACACUAUGGAUUUUUUGGACUAAAUUCAGAAUGA
rnacentral:lncRNA from 1 species